rnacentral:rRNA from 1 species
GUCCAUGCCGUAAACGUUGGGCACUAGGUGUGGGGAACAUUCCACGUUUUCCGCGCCGUAGCUAACGCAUUAAGUGCCCCGCCUGGGGGAGUACGGCCGCAAAGGCUAAAAACUCAAAAGGAAUUGACGGGGGCCCCGCACAAGCGGCGGAGCAUGCGGAUUAAUUCGAUGCAAACGCGAAGAACCUUACCAAGGCUUGACAUGUUCCAGACCGCCUCAGAGAUGGGGGUUUCCCUUCGGGGCUGGUUCACAGGUGGUGCAUGGUUGUCGU